rnacentral:rRNA from 1 species
GAUGAACGCUGGCGGCGUGCUUAACACAUGCAAGUCGAACGGGAAACCUUUUAUUGAAGCUUCGGCAGAUUUCGCUGGUUUCUAUUGGCGGACGGGUGAGUACCGCGUGGGUAACCUGCCUUAUCCAGGGGGAUAACAGUCAGACAUGGCUGCUAAUACCGCAUAAGCGCACAGAUCUGCAUGGCUCAGUGUGAAAAACUCCGGUGGUAUAAGAUGGACCCGCGUUGGAUUAGCUGGUUGGUGGGGUAACGUCCCACCAAGGCGACGAUCCAUAGCCGGCGAGAGAGGGUGAACGGCGACAUUGGGAGUGAGACACGGCCGAGACUCCUACGGGAGGCAGGAGAGGGGAAUAUUGCAAAAUGGGGGAAGCGCUGAUGCAGCGACGCCGCGUGAAGGAAGAAGUAGCUAGGUAUGUAAACUGCUAUAAGCAGGGAAGAUAAUGACGGUACCUGACUAAGAAGCCCCGGCUAACUACGUG